UAUGCCGUUUGACGAUCGUGAAACCGAUAGAAAAAAUACAUUAGAACGCCACCAAAAAAAUCAAUUUCAUAAACCGAUCAAAUAUAGAUGAGUAAUAGUUAUUCAAUCCGCACAUUAUAAUACUUAGACAGAGAAACAUCCACAGUGUAGGUUCAAACAUGUAAUUUACUUUAUGUUUACUUCUUUUCGCAAAGCGUUUCUGUAUGUCACAUGGAGGAACCCUCAUACACGUUAAUUCGGCGCCAGAGAACGAGUUCGCACCCUUCAAGGUAUGGACUUACGAACUCUUUUCGAACAGAGCAUGCAUGUCUCAGCCUUGCCCUGUAAAAACGUAAGGAAGACAUUUACGAAUCGUUGCGAAAGGCGAUAGAAUAAAAAGACAGUAUCAGAACUAGUAUCCCUAUCAAUUUAUAUCGUGUUGUAAGACAGUAUAACAAAGUUACGAAAACUGUUAAUGGAUAUGUAUUUGCAAUAUUAUUGUACAGGGCGCUAUUGGUUGGGACUUACCGACAAGCCUGUACGGGGAUAUUGGAGAUGGGUGGACACAAACACAACUGCUACGUUCCUCGGCUGGGCCCCAGAUGAGCCGGAUUGGUCGGCAGGAGAGUGUGCUGUAUUUAAAAGCCAGAAGGACUUCCAAUUGGCAGACUACACAUGUUCCUAUAAUGACGUCAUUCCGCUAUGUGAAAUAAGCGGCGAAUAAUCUGAUGGUGUUGUAGUUGAAAUAUACCCACAGGAGAAUGAUACAUUGCGUGAUGGAAGAGACAAUUUGUAAAUCAGUGAACACAAAUAUCCGUCCCAGCUUUGACAUUUGUUUUUGAAAUGGUAAAACUUAACCUGUGUUCCUGUAUUGGUGCAUUAAUCGAGAAAUAAAAGGUUCGAAAUGCAUAUGAUGUUAUUUUGCUUUUCCUUUCUACUUUAUAUUGUUAAAUGCGAUUCGUCCACUUUAUGAUUCAUACCCGACUAUGGUUAUAAACACAAGUGCGAUCAUUUAAUUGAUUAACGGUCUUAGAAAAGUAAUAUGUCGAGCGGCGACAGCUCUUUAUUUGUGCCUAGGACAAGGUGCCUGAACCACGUGACUUUUUCGGCUAUGUGUGGGACAAUCGGAUGUAAACAAAACGUCGCUUCAGGUAACGUUUUUGAUAAUUUCUUCAUUAUUUCAAAACCAUUUUCAAAAAAACAAAGACUAGUGCCCGGUCAUUGUCAAAAGACACAACUUUGGUAAGUUUGCGCUAAAUUAAUUAAGUAAUUUUUACAAAAAGUGCAACCGCGCACUUGAAAACACACGAAGUGAAAUGCUAUGUGUGGUAUAUUUUUUAUUCGAUCAACAAAAACGUUGAUUACAAUGUUGUCGAGGGUUUAAAAAAUAGAGCGGACAUUGUAAUUCUUCAUAGAGAAGCUACAUACAUUGUAUGUUUGCGCAAAAACAUCUGAUUGUGUGUAUGAAAAUGUAAUGAUGCUAUGUGUGGGACAAAUUUUUUAAAUGCUAUGUGUGGUAUACAAACUAAACUAGGGAAUCGAAAGAUUGACAUUAACGUCAAUAAUAUUAAAAGUCUGUCUGAAUAACAAACGUUGGUCAAUAAACAUUGUUGGUAGUGUUUUGCGCGCCUUAAAUAUGAUAAUCCUACGUUCAUGUUACUCGAAAUUAUCAUGAUUGUCGAUAACUUAUAUUCAUAUUUUGUUUACUUUUAGAAUGCCAUUUGUUUGCGAACGGUGUGGCAGAGAGGUCAAAACACGGUCGGGGAUCUCCUAACACAAAGCCACCCACGCACGGACAGGAAAAUAGUUCCGUUGGGCAAACUUUUUCUUGUUUUUAUAAAAUUGAUUGUUACAAAAUGUUGAAUUUUUUGUGAAUUGUUAAUGCCAACUAAUGCACUUGUUGAAUACACAAAAUCGUAAGUAUUGUUUGUGCAAGAUGUCAUGUAAAUAUUGUUGCAACAAAACUACAAAAAGUGUUAGUUGUGUGUUUUUUAGCAGGAAUGUGUAGGCAUUUUUGACUGUAACGAUGGUUAUUAAAUAAGCAUAAAGAGAUCAUACAGCAUUUUGAAACAAAUAGACACUAGGAUCAAUAACAUUUUUUUUCUGGAAAAUCACGUAUUUGUAUCUAAAUUCUAUUGAGCUAUCUGAUAUAUCACGCAUGCUAUUUUUUUUAAGUUUAACAGUUUAUUUCAUUUGUAUUUUGUUCUUUUCAGGGAGAUUAAAGUAUUUUUGGAAGCACCUUCAAGAGACGUACUGAUAUCUUGAUCAAUUAAAAGUUGUUAUAUACAAACAUGUAUAGUAAAUGUUCCAAAGUUUAAAUGACUGUUUGUUUUAUUACCAGAUGGUGCAAGUAUUGCAGGGAGAGAAAACAAUCAAAGUAAACAUUACAUAAAAAUUUGAUAUUUCAACAAAUUUAACAACAUUAUAUGAUUUAAUGUUAAUUACUUGGUGCAGUGGUAACAAGAUCUUGCAGCGCCUUUUCAUG